CCCUACGGGGCGCAGCAGUGGGGAAUAUUGCACAAUGGGGGGAACCCUGAUGCAGCGACGCCGCGUGAGCGAAGAAGUAUCUCGGUAUGUAAAGCUCUAUCAGCAGGGAAGAAAAUGACGGUACCUGACUAAGAAGCUCCGGCUAAAUACGUGCCAGCAGCCGCGGUAAUACGUAUGGAGCAAGCGUUAUCCGGAUUUACUGGGUGUAAAGGGAGCGCAGGCGGCGCGCCAAGUCUGGUGUGAAACCCCGGGGCUCAACCCCGGGACUGCAUUGGAAACUGGCGUGCUGGAGUGUCGGAGGGGCG
rnacentral:rRNA from 1 species